GAGGGAAGAGCUGGGAGGUGGGAAGUGGGGGAGGGGCCCCAGACCAGGCUCAGAGCAUAUCCUUGCUCCUGGCCUCCACCGCAGAAGGUGGCUCACCCCUCUGCAUGGAACAGUCUCUCUCCAUUCCCUCUACCCUGGCCUUCCUCCUCCUUGCAGGCCCCAGAAGCUGGAGGGGGCUGGUCGGGGUUGGGCUCACAGACACAGUGGUGGAGCUCACAGAAGUGCCCCCACCCACCAGGAGCCCAGGGUGGGCCUCAGCCAGCCGGGGGUAAUGAGGCAUGGGAUGGACUCUGCGGGCACCAGGCCUGACCCUGAGUGCACCCAGGCGAGGGCGGGGGACACUCAGAUCUGCCCCUCUCUGCAGGAACCUGGUUUCCCCACCCUGGAGGCCAGCGCCAAAGGACGUUCACGUGCAGCUAUGCAGGCCUGCUGCAGAUCCAAGUCCUGUGACCGGGGUCCUGCCCAAGGGUCCUGCUUCCCUAGGCAUCCCAGAAGUUCAGCCUGCAUCUCGACCAGAGCCUGAGAGUAGACACCUGCCGGUUUAUCUGUCCCUUCAUGUAGCAGGUGACAGAGGUGCCAGGGGCAUGGCAGGGGUACUCUGACACAGCACUGCCCCACGGAGCCCAUGUCCCAGGGCAGAAGACCCACGAUGCACAGCCAGCCAGGUGGCCUCAUCCGAUCAGUCAAAGGCCUCAAUAGAACCAAGACUGACCUCUGCCAAAGAGAGAAUUCUUUCAGCAGACGGCCUUCGGACUUGAGCUAUGACGGCAACUCUUCCCCGGGCCCACCUGACGGACUGGGUUUCUCAGCCUCCACAGUCGUGUGAGCCAAUUCCGUAAGAUAAAUCUCUCUCUCUUCUCUCUCAAUCUCUCUCUCAAUCUCUCUCUCUCUCCAGGAAAGAACUCCAGGGUAGCUGGGAGCUUGGUAUGUUCCAGGACAGCAGGGAGGCCAGAGCCGCUGUCAGUGUGAGAGGGUCGGAGUACAGUGGGGCCCUCCCUGCAUGUGGGGCCUCAUAAGGUGGCAUAGAUGCACGCUUGUUCUGUGUGGACAGGGUUUGGGUGGGGGUGAUGCUUCCUCUGUUCCCUGGGUAGAGACUUGAUGUCUGGUGGCCUGGGGAAGGCAAGGAGGCCAUGUGGAGGCUGCUGCUGUGGUCCGGGUGAGAGGUGACGCCACUGUAGGGCAGCUGGUGGCAUGCAUAAUUCAAAAUAGGCAUAUUGACCAGAUGCAGUGGCUCAUGCCUGUGAUCCCAGCACUUUGGGAGGCCAAGGCAGGAGGAUUG
rnacentral:lncRNA from 1 species